UACGGAGGGGGCGAGCGUUAUUCGGAAUUAUUGGGCGUAAAGGGCGCGUAGGCGGCUGGGCAAGUCAAAGGUGAAAUCCCUCGGCUCAACUGAGGAACUGCCUUUGAAACUGCCUGGCUUGAGGCCGGGAGGGGGUAGCGGAAUUCCCAGUGUAGCGGUGAAAUGCGUAGAUAUCUGGAGGAACACCGGUGGCGAAGGCGGCAUCCUGGACCAUGACUGACACUGAAAAGCGAAAGCCAGGGGAGCAAACGGG
rnacentral:rRNA from 1 species